ACUCAAAGGAAUUGACGGGGGCCCGCACAAGCAGCGGAGCGUGUGGUUUAAUUCGACGCAACACGCAGAACCUUACCCAGAUUUGACAUGCAGCUGCAAGCUUCUGAAAGGGAGCCGCUUUCGAGGGUGCUGCACAGGUGCUGCAUGGCUGUCGUCAGCUCGUGUCGUGAGAUGUUGGGUUAAGUCCCGCAACGAGCGCAACCCUUACGGCCAGUUACUCGUGUCUGGCUGAACUGCCCUUCGGGGAGGAAGGUGGGGAUGACGUCAAGUCCGCAUGGCCCUUACGUCUGGGGCUACACACACGCUACAAUGCCGUCAAUAGCGCGUAGCAAGCCCGCAAGGGUGAGCGAAUCGCCAAACGACGGCCCAGUGCAGAUUGGGGGCUGAAACCCGCCCCCAUAAAGGCGGAGUUGCUAGUAACCGCGUAUCAGCGAUGGCGCGGUGAAUACGUACCCGGGCCUUGUACACACCGCCCGU
rnacentral:rRNA from 1 species